CGCGGCGCCGCAGCUCAGGGCAUCGGAACCCGCGCCCCCGCCACGGCGCACGCCUGUGGCUCUGCACGCGCACUCCGGGCGGCCGGGGCACCGCGCCUGCAGCCGCCCGAGCCCUGCGUGCGGGGCCGCGGCGCGGGACGGGCUGCCGGGAAAGCGAGCCCGAUCCCAUCACCGCGAGCGGACUUUGCUCCGGGCACCGGGGCGGCCGCCACCUCGCCGCCCUGCCGGGGUCGUCCGCGCCCCGCGGCGCCUCCCCCCGCACCGCCCCCGCCGGGCAGCAGGCGCGCUCGCCGGCCGCGCUGGGCCGGGAAAGUUGUGGGGACCCGCGGGGGGCGCCCGGGAGCCCGGAGCCCGCCGCCCCGCGUCCACCUGGUGAAACUUCAGCGCCCCGGGGGGUGGGGGGCGCAAGGUGCGCGGCCCGCGGCUCCGCCGAGAAGCCCACGCGCCCACCUGCCGGCCCCGGGGUGGCCUCUCCCGCAGCCCCCGUCGCCCGGACCCGCUGCCCGGGGCGGCUCGGCGUGGGCGCUCGCGGCCCUCGGUCACGACGCGGUGCACGCGGGGCAGACGGCGCCGCCGCCGGCGCGGGCGGAGGAGAGAGGCCGGGCCGGGGGGAGGGGGGGAGGGGAGGAGGGGGACGGGGAAGUAGGCACACAAUGGUCCCGGGAGGUUAUUCCCGGGCCAAAAAGCACCUGGCACAGCGCGCCGGGGUCAGCCGCUUCCAGUCUCCACGUUUCUGACAAUGGCUUCCCGGGGAAAAGACGAAUAUUUAAAAAAAAAAAGAAAAAAAGAAAAAAAUCCCCGCCCCCCCGCCCGCCCUGCACGGUCCUGGGGCGGCCGGCCAGCAGCGGCGCGGCGAGCGGAGCGGCGGUCCCCGCAGUCCCAAGUACUUUCCCUUCCGUCUCCCCCAGCGCCGCGCGGGGGCCCCCGAUGCCCGGGAGCGCAGGGUCCCCCCCCCCCGCCUGGGGAGUUCUGAGUAGGAUAAGAUGGCAAGGCUUUAGAUAA
rnacentral:lncRNA from 12 species